AAUAUCAGUGUCCCCAAACUUGACCUGCAUCAAAAAAGUAAAGACGGUAAGUUGAUUAAUGAAAGUGAAAAAAUUCAGCACCUUUUUGCGUCACAAUUGCUUAUUAUUACUGCUCCCAGGCUUUAUAGCCCGGUAGUUUCUAUCCUACUUUGACAUCUUAGCAGACACACCUUUGCUUCAACCAUAGCAAUCCUUGCUUCAGCCAUAGAAUGUGCAAUAACCUAUGAUGGACUUAGUUUGGGAUAUAGCAUAUGCAAGUGUUAGGGUACCCUAACAGAAGUUUAGACGAAUUAGAAAGAAGAGAUUAGAGAGAGACAGAAAUAGAGAAGAUAGAGAUAGAGAAGAGAAAGAUUAUUUUUCUUUCUAAUGAUUUCAUAAUGACUUCUGAGCUUAUACAAUAGCUCAGUAACUACCUCAGCUACUGCAGGUAGUUAUCCCUAACCUCCCAACAACUUUUAUAACCACCUAAUCCGUUUCCUGCCAAUUACAACAACUCUACUAAUUCUCUUAACAACCAAAACUACUACUGCCUUAUCCUAUACUUUGUCCUCUGAUAUGCAACAGCAAGUUGUAGAAGUGCUAGUGAUGCCAGAUGAUAUACAUAACGUAUAAACUCAGGAUCAUGCAUAGUUAAAGCUUCAUAACUGUUAUUUUAGAAAAUGAAGCAAGGUGCUCUAAUCACGUGAAGCAUGAUUUGAUUAAAACAUAAUGAAAAUGAAUCGAUUCAACCGAGCCUCAUAUGAACUUUCAUUAGCUGGCAAGUGAAAUUGCAAUUGAUCUUCACAAUCUUUUCUUUCCUUAAUGAUUCGUUAAAUUACCGUUCCUUUUCCUCUAGCAUUUUAUAGGAUUAAACAAUACACAUACAGACAUUUGAAAAGUGAUGUAGUCCUAAUCCCUCAUACAAACAUCUCUCUAAUUCGCUAAUUAAAUAUUUCAACCAUAUGUUAAAAUCCCGCCUUUCAUAAACAUAUCUUCAACUGAAAUCCAUCUUAAUCAAUUGAGAUUAAAGACAACUUGAUAUCAAUUGCAGCACAUGCACAUUCAGCCAAUUAUAAAAAACGUUAUAAUUGCUAACCCUACAGUUUAUCACUAGUAAAUGCAUGCUUUCAUUUAAAGAUAGUAGGCAUAGAAAAGCCUAGUCAAAUUAAUGAAAUAUUGAACUGGAGCAAAACAGUAACAACAAUAAGACAUUUAGGCAGAACCAAAAAUAAGGCAAUUCAACUCUCUAAUUUGCUUGUGAUGCAAGUACUUACAAGAUUGAGAAGAGAAGA
rnacentral:misc_RNA from 1 species